rnacentral:tRNA from 1 species
CUCGUCGGGCUCAUAACCCGAAGGUCGUCGGUUCAAAUCCGGCCCCCGCAA